GACGCGCGCCUGGGCCUGACGCGUCUCCGGAAUGUCCAGCAACAAUUUGUCAAACAAAUUUCUGCAAACGUUGUUGCUGGACAUUCUGUUGCUUACACCAGAUAAAACCUCACGUGCCGCAAUAUAAUUAAUAAGGUUACUCUUAACCUUACAAGCAGUACUCAACAUCCGCCUGGAACACAGAAGUUCCUCCAGCAGCCAGUAGAGACGCAGUGAAGUAAUACUCGUCCUCGAGUAACCAACGCACUCUACUGGGAAACGAUCCGGCGA